rnacentral:rRNA from 1 species
UACGAAGGGGGCGAGCGUUGUUCGGAUUUACUGGGCGUAAAGGGCGCGCAGGCGGUUCUGUUUGUCGAGUGUGAAAGCCCCGGGCUCAACCUGGGAACUGCGCUCGAAACGGCGGAACUAGAGUUCGGGAGAGGAGAGUGGAAUUCCCAGUGUAGAGGUGAAAUUCGUAGAUAUUGGGAAGAACACCGGUGGCGAAGGCGGCUCUCUCGGAGCCGAUACGUGACGCUGAGGCGCGAAAGCGUGGGGAGCAACAGG